rnacentral:rRNA from 1 species
UUUAACUGAAGAGUUUGAUCAUGGCUCAGAUUGAACGCUGGCGGCAGGCUUAACACAUGCAAGUCGAGCGGGGGAAGGUAGCUUGCUACCGGACCUAGCGGCGGACGGGUGAGUAAUGCUUAGGAAUCUGCCUAUUAGUGGGGGACAACAUCUCGAAAGGGAUGCUAAUACCGCAUACGUCCUACGGGAGAAAGCAGGGGAUCUUCGGACCUUGCGCUAAUAGAUGAGCCUAAGUCGGAUUAGCUAGUUGGUGGGGUAAAGGCCUACCAAGGCGACGAUCUGUAGCGGGUCUGAGAGGAUGAUCCGCCACACUGGGACUGAGACACGGCCCAGACUCCUACGGGAGGCAGCAGUGGGGAAUAUUGGACAAUGGGGGGAACCCUGAUCCAGCCAUGCCGCGUGUGUGAAGAAGGCCUUAUGGUUGUAAAGCACUUUAAGCGAGGAGGAGGCUACUUUAGUUAAUACCUAGAGAU